rnacentral:tRNA from 1 species
GGGGCUAUGGCGCAGUUGGUAGCGCGUUUCCAUGGCAUGGAAAAGGUCAGGGGUUCGAAUCCCCUUAGCUCCACCG